rnacentral:rRNA from 1 species
GACGAACCGUGCGAACGUUAUUCGGAAUCACUGGCUUAAAGCGCGUGUAGGCGGGACGGCACGUCGGUCGCUGAAAGCCCCCCGGCUCAACCGGGGGAACGGGCGCCGAUACGACCGCCCUGGAGGGACGUAGGGGGACCUGGAACUUCCGGUGGAGCGGUGAAAUGCGUUGAGAUCGGAAGGAACGCCCGUGGCGAAAGCGAGGUCCUGGACGUUUUCGUGACGCUGACGACGGCGAAAGCCAGGGGAGCGAACGGG